GCGCCUGUAGCUCCGUUGGCAGAGCGGUGGAACUGUAAUCCAUAGUCCCGGGUUCAAGUCCCGGCGGUCACC